UACGUAGGGGGCAAGCGUUGUCCGGAAUUAUUGGGCGUAAAGCGCGUGUAGGCGGCUCGAUAAGUCUGCUGUGAAAGUCCAGGGCUCAACCCUGGGAUGCCGGUGGAUACUGUCGAGCUCGAGUCCGGAAGAGGCGAGUGGAAUUCCUGGUGUAGCGGUGAAAUGCGCAGAUAUCAGGAGGAACACCAAUUGCGAAGGCAGCUCGCUGGGACGUAACUGACGCUGAGACGCGAAAGCGUGGGGAGCAAACAGG
rnacentral:rRNA from 1 species